rnacentral:tmRNA from 1 species
GGACUGGACCCGGGGCGAGGCAUCACCUAUAUUCCGAGUGCGGUUGAUGACCGGUUCAUAAUAACGUUUCAGGACCCGGAGGGCAGUACUCCGGCGCCUCCACCAAAAGCCCAUCGCGGGACAUCCGGGUAGCGUUGGGCUUCUGAUGGGGGCGAAAUAGGAUCGACUGGGCGGUAAAGGGAUCGCGAGUUCAGUCUCACUUCGGUGGGAUACGAUGCGACUGUCGGUAAGGUUUCGACCGGUUUGGCGUAGGUAACCCCUAUUCCAGGCAUCUGACCAAAACUCUAAAUGCCAACGAUAACGUUGUCAUGGAUGCCCGCCUCGCGGCGUAAGCAUCUUGCGGUAGGGUAACCGUCGAAACAGAACCCGGGGCU